UACAGAGGUCCCGAGCGUUGUUCGGAUUUACUGGGCGUAAAGGGUGUGCAGGCUGCCCCUCAAGUGGUGUAUGAAAGGGCUUGGCUCAACCGGGCAGGCGUAGGCCAGACUGCCAGUCUUGAGAGUGGGAGAGGGAUGUGGAAUUCCGGGUGUAGUGGUGAAAUGCGUAGAGAUCCGGAGGAACCCCAGAGGCGAAGGCGGCGUCCUGGCCCAUU
rnacentral:rRNA from 1 species